UUUCCUUCUUUCUCUAUUUUUUCGCUUAACUUCCUUUGAUUUCUCCUUUUUCCUUGAAAAGGACAAUUUAUUUCUUUAUUAAUCCUUUUUUUCUGUUCUUUUUAUUUUUCAACCGAAUUAAAAGCUUUUCUUUUGGGUUUUUUUGUCUCCCUUUUCUCUAUCUAAAAUUCCUAUAUUGUCCCAACUGUAUUUUUCUUCUUGUUUAUAUAGUUUCAUAACACGUUAUCAACACGAGCCAAUGAUCGAGCUUUGAUCUUGUUCAGUACAGGCUUUAAGACAUAAACAUAUAGGGUGUGCAAAAAUGCAGAAACUUUCAGUAAUGGGUUUGGUGCAGGCACAAGUGGACGUUAGAUUUUACGGUACGACGUUGCAGCUAUCCGGACAUGGAGUUUACAUCCGGACUUGGUAAGACCUCAUGCUCUCGAGGAUGUCUACCUUAUUAUCUAGCUUACAUGUAGGCUUUAGCUAGUGGAGCAUGUUCCACUAGUGUUUCAUUUCCCAUUUCAUUUUAGACUUUGUAUUGAUGCCGUUUUGGCAAGAUACGUUCAAUGCAAUUAUGAACUGCUUCUUUCA